rnacentral:rRNA from 1 species
ACGAACGCUGCGGCAUGCCAAUACAUGCAAGUCGAGCGAACGGAUGAGGAGCUUGCUCCUCUGACGUUAGCGGCGAAUGGGCGAGUAACACUGGGCAACCUGCCCCUGUAUUGGGGAGUAACUCCGGGAAACCGGGGCGUAAUACCGAAUGAUUAAUUCUUUCUCAUGAAAGGAUUCUGAAAGACGGCUUCGGCUGUCGCUACGGGAUGGGCCCGCGGCGCAUUAGCUAGUUGGUAAGGUAACGGCUUACCAAGGCGACGAUGCGUAGCCGACCUGAGAGGGUGAUCGGCCACACUGGGACUGAGACACGGCCCAGACUCCUACGGGAGGCAGCAGUAGGGAAUCAUCCACAAUGGACGAAAGUCUGAUGGUGCAAUGCCGCGUGGGCGAAGAAGGUUUUCGGAUCGUAAAGCUCUGUUAUGAGGGAAGAACAAGUACAAGAGUAACUGCUUGUACCUUGACGGUACCUCAUUAGAAAGCCACGGCUAACUACGUG